CAGCCGCCACGGGAAUACGAAGGGGGCUAGCGUUGCUCGGAAUUACUGGGCGUAAAGGGAGCGUAGGCGGACAUUUAAGUCAGGGGUGAAAUCCCAGAGCUCAACUCUGGAACUGCCUUUGAUACUGGGUGUCUUGAGUGUGAUAGAGGUAUGUGGAACUCCGAGUGUAGAGGUGAAAUUCGUAGAUAUUCGGAAGAACACCAGUGGCGAAGGCGACUGACUGGGCAAGUAUUGACGCUGAGGUGCGAAAGCGUGGGGAGCAAACAGGAUUAGAUACCCCCGUAGUCCCUGUCUCUUAUAC
rnacentral:rRNA from 1 species